rnacentral:rRNA from 1 species
AGUCGAACGGUAGCACAGAGAGCUUGCUCUCGGGUGACGAGUGGCGGACGGGUGAGUAAUGUCUGGGAAACUGCCUGAUGGAGGGGGAUAACUACUGGAAACGGUAGCUAAUACCGCAUAACGUCGCAAGACCAAAGAGGGGGACCUUCGGGCCUCUUGCCAUCAGAUGUGCCCAGAUGGGAUUAGCUAGUAGGUGGGGUAACGGCUCACCUAGGCGACGAUCCCUAGCUGGUCUGAGAGGAUGACCAGCCACACUGGAACUGAGACACGGUCCAGACUCCUACGGGAGGCAGCAGUGGGGAAUAUUGCACAAUGGGCGCAAGCCUGAUGCAGCCAUGCCGCGUGUAUGAAGAAGGCCUUCGGGUUGUAAAGUACUUUCAGCGGGGAGGAAGGUGUUGCGGUUAAUAACCGCAGCAAUUGACGUUACCCGCAGAAGAAGCACCGGCUAACUCCGUGCCAGCAGCCGCGGUAAUACGGAGGGUGCAAGCGUUAAUCGGAAUUACUGGGCGUAAAGCGCACGCAGGCGGUCUGUCAAGUCGGAUGUGAAAUCCCCGGGCUCAACCUGGGAACUGCAUUCGAAACUGGCAGGCUAGAGUCUUGUAGAGGGGGGUAGAAUUC